rnacentral:rRNA from 1 species
UACGUAGGGUGCAAGCGUUGUCCGGAAUUAUUGGGCGUAAAGAGCUCGUAGGCGGUCUGUUGCGUCCGCUGUGAAAACUCGGGGCUUAACCCCGAGCCUGCAGUGGAUACGGGCAGACUAGAGGUAGGUAGGGGAGAAUGGAAUUCCCGGUGUAGCGGUGAAAUGCGCAGAUAUCGGGAGGAACACCGGUGGCGAAGGCGGAUCUCUGGGCCAUUACUGACGCUGAGGAGCGAAAGCGUGGGGAGCGAACGAGG